GGACACCUGUAAAAGUAAAAAGCUGUUAAUACUUUUGUAGUUUAAAAGGUUUUUAACAUAAUAACUACAAUUAAAAAUUAUAUAAUAACUAUCAAAUAUAAAUAUUAAAAAUUGACGUAAUAUUAUUGUAAAAAAAAAAAACUUAUAAAACUAUUACAUAUUUAAAAAGGUACAUAAAAAUCAUUCUAGGUCUAUUAUUUACAUUUGUUAGUCAAAGUAUUAAGUCAACUAAUACCCAAGUUUUCCUAACUAAAUUGUAAUGGUACAGUUUAGACGAAAUGUUGUAAAUGUACUAUUAUUGUAUGAUUACUCAUAUUAUUGUAUAAUAUGCGGCAACAUCGUGUGGGACUUUUGCAUUCGCGUUAUGUGGUGGCGGCGCUGGAAAAAUGUUGUCAUGCCUAACAAAGUGAUAAGAAGAUAAUAUAGUUGGUUGGUUAUGUUUUAAAAGAAAUGAAAUAUAAAAAAUGAUAUCUGAUUAUUAAAAAAUGAACACGUUGUUUUUUCUUUUCUCUUUAAAUAAAAACUAACUAGUAACCAUAAGAUUUUUCAUGAGGAAUAAAAUGGAAAUAUCAACAAACAAUGUUUGAGAGAACAGCGAAUAAAUACACACAAAUGUCAACUAUAUUAAAACUCCUACAUCAACGAACAAUUCAGCACCAAUACAACUGAAAUUAAGAGAUCGUGAGGGUAAUAUAACACAACAGAAACUUUGUAUUCAGAUGGCAAGACGACGCCACCGACGUUUUUCAGAGCAUAUGGUCCCGUUUGCCUCAGGAGGAACACGUAUACAAUGAUCAAAGACCGAUUGAUAGACACAGAAACAAAUUCACGUACUCACUCCCUUCAUUGUCGGUCAUUUUAGAAUAAUCUGCGCGUAUCUCACUGUGUAUAUAUUUUCCAUAUAAGGUUUAUCUUCUUCACCGUGUCCUAUGUUCAGAAUUUACUGACAUAUUUUUUCAUUUAUUACUCGUCGUUUUUUCCAAAUCCUAAUAUUAACAUGUUUAGAAAUUUCUUUUAUAGUUUUUUUGAUUACGGACAAUAUUUUAUUUGAAGUAUCAGACUCGUAUCGUUAAGUGUAAAAUGAUUAAUAUUAAAACAAUAUAAUGACAGUUUGCAUCAAGUGUUAGGAAGUCGUGUUGAAAAUUACAUCUAAUAAAACUUCAAAUUAGAAAAUGUAUAGUAUGAGAUGAAACUAUCAUAUAGUUAUAAUUGAAGAAGUCCUUAGAUUCAAUUUUUAAAUAUAUAUAUAUAAGUGUAAAUAGUCUUGUUAAACAUUUUCCGAUAAAACAUUGUCUGCUAAUUUUGCUUGUUUUCUUUGUUAUUCUCUACGCAGAUAAUGUUUUUUACUGUUGUUUAUUUGGGACUCAAAUAAGAAGCAUCGAGUAGAAUACAAAAAUAAUUAUCUUGAAAGUAAAACUUUAAAAUGCGCACAAAGACAUCUUUUGUAAUGUUUUUAACGCCUUCGCCAAAUUUCUGUUGAAUAGAAUGGAACAAGUUUCAUUAUACUUUUAGUUGUAUUACACUCUAAGUAAUUAUCGGAAGAAAUAAUAUUUAUAUAUUUCAUAAUUCAUUCAUUUCAAUAAUUGUUGUACUCACAAAAAAUUAAGUAUGAGAAAGAGCCUUUAUAUGUGUUAUUAAUAAACAAUAAGCUAACUAAAAAUAACCAAAUAAGGUUGAUCUACAAAUUGUAAAUUUUAUUAUUUUGUUUAUUUUUAACUUAUGUAGACCUUACCAUUUGUAUUUCUAUUUAACUUUUAUGUUUAACUAUAUAAAUUAUAACAAUGUUAGUAAUGUAAAUUCUAUUAUCCACACAUUGUACUGUUUUGUAGGUAAUAUGUUAAUACAUACUUACACAAGUGUCCCAAUUGUUAGUACAUAUAUCUAUAAAAGCAGCUGUAUACAUAUUGUAUUGUUAUUAUAGUAAUAAUAUGUUACAACGGUUCAAAUUAAACAGAUUACAGGAGUCUGCAAAAUCUUAGACAUAUAUAUUUGCUUUUGUUCCUAUCUUUUACAGCUUUGAGCAUGGAAAUUGAAAAAUACCCUCUACAUACACAGCUUUUUUAGUGCGUUUUUAUUCUUAUAAUACGAUAGUGUACUAUUAACUGGCUUUUGUCAACAUAUUUUUUAUAUAAUUUUUAUUUGAAAACAAUUGAAAUUGUAAAUUUUAAAUGAAAACAACAAGUAAAUUCGAUUAUUAUCAAGUUAUUAUUGAUGUUGUUUGCGAAACAUAUGGCUGAAGUGCGUUAAGAUAAAGAUGAAAGUUUUCCCGCAGUUACUUACCAUAAACCAAGGAAUUGAUCGUACCCAUUAACGCGUUUUGUGAUAAAUCACAGGUACACUUGCCCGUUAGUGCCACAGAAGCAGAACACAAUGUGUACGCUUGUAAUUGUUUUUAUGAACCACGUUGUAUUUCUAUUUUGUGAAUUUGCAUUUGAUUUAAUAUCCUAAUAUUUAAACUAAAUCUAUUGAUUUAUAUCGUUUAAAUGAAUUCUAUUUUUUGUUUGUGAAGUGUCAACUUUGCGCUAAAAAUAUUGCGUUAUUAAUAGGAACUUUUUGUAAUUAAAAUGCAAGUCUGACACACUAGUACUCAAGUUUCAUAUUUAUGUUCUCCGAGAUACACGACUCUCGCAACCUACACAAAAUUACUGAAUCGAUAAAGACGAUUAGGCAAGACACUAGAAAUAUUGUUUAACUAAACUAGUUGUGGAAUGAGUUGAACGACUGUCCCAUAUCCUCACACGUGAAUGUAUCAAUGCAAUAUCAGAACAAGCUUCAAUUAGAGUGAUAAACAUAUUGCACAUGAUUUAGGAGUCUAUAAAAUAAAUCACAUAAAUGAAGAACACGUAUGAAAUAUAUGAAAAUUAAACACGCGGUCGGUAAUUGAAACAGCUUUUGUAUAUACUCAAGAAAACAAGUAGAAAAUUAUUAAUACACACAAAAACCUCAUGUGUGAAUUAAAUUAUAGGAAUAACGAAAAUUUUGAACCAAAAAUAUGAUCUUGUAUUCAAACAUCGUCAAUUGGAAAUCUACAUAUUUUUGCAUUUUUUAACGUUAUCCUCUUUGAGUUUAACAUUUAUCAAUAAUGAAAUGAUGAAUUCGCACGCUUCGAUUUCAAAAGAGACGAAAACAAUUGUUUUUUUAUUUUUGUAUUCAAAGCCCCAGGUGGUUUUUACCGAGUAAAGCGGAACUCGGUGUGUAUGAGGGUCGUCAGCUUUAUUAUUGCAUGUAUAUUACAUUUAACAAUAUAGUGGUUGGAAAAACAACCGUCGAAUAAACGAUUUUGAUUCCACGAGUUAGUACAAAACGCUAUCUCUGGACAUUAUGCAAAUGACCGCUGACAAUCGGUAGAAAUAAUAUUUUUGAAAACGACGUUGUUACGCCCAAGUAAUGUAUGUACAUAAUACCGUGGCCAGUUAAAGAGUGUUCUUGCUGUGUAUUCGAAGAAAUGCGCGACUGUUUUAAACGUUAUUUUUAUUCCGAUAGCCUCCGGGAGACCGACGGUAAAGGGUUUUUUUUUGUUUGCCAAAAGAAUAUCAUGACAAACCCGGCCCCACCUCAAUAUGCUAAUAUUUGCAUUUUUUUACUCUUGGGAAAUUCAAGAGGGUGCAAUAAAAUAACAAUAGUCGAAUGGAAUCGCUGCAACGGAUCUUUAGGCAAACAAAUACACUAAGGGAGCACGUGCUAAACUGUAAGCUGUACUGGAAAAUAAAAUCGCAACACUCGCAGGAUGCCAAAUAACGAAAUGAAUAACGAUUCUCGGUAUGACUCUAAACUGCAAUUUGGUCGGUAAAUAUUUUGUAUUUCUGUUAAACUCAAACCGAUGUGCUAUAUCGUGUAGAUGGCGAAUUAAAAAAUAAAAUAAACCAACCGAAUGAUCCGUAGCCUGCAUAAAAGAUUACCCCUAGAAAAGGGUUAGAGAUAUCCGGUUACACACAAUGGGCGUGAAAUGAUUUUACGCAUACUAUAUAUUAGGUACACCGUUGUUCAAAACAAACAAGCUA